UACGGAAGGUCCGGGCGUUAUCCGGAUUUAUUGGGUUUAAAGGGAGCGCAGGCGGGCCUUUAAGCGUGACGUGAAAUGUAGCCGCUCAACGGCUGAACUGCGUCGCGAACUGGAGGUCUUGAGUGGGUGCGACGUCAGCGGAAUUCGUGGUGUAGCGGUGAAAUGCUUAGAUAUCACGAAGAACCCCGAUUGCGAAGGCAGCUGGCGAGUCCCUUACUGACGCUAAAGCUCGAAGGUGCGGGUAUCGAAC
rnacentral:rRNA from 1 species